GUGACACUGCGCCGAAAAUGUACCGGGGCUAAACAUAUUACCGAAGCUGUGGAUUGUCCUUUGGACAAUGGUAGGAGAGCGUUCUAAGGGCGUUGAAGCAUGAUCGUAAGGACAUGUGGAGCGCUUAGAAGUGAGAAUGCCGGUGUGAGUAGCGAAAGACGGGUGAGAAUCCCGUCCACCGAUUGACUAAGGUUUCCAGAGGAAGGCUCGUCCGCUCUGGGUUAGUCGGGUCCUAAGCUGAGGCCGACAGGCGUAGGCGAUGGAUAACAGGUUGAUAUUCCUGUACCACCUAUAAUCGUUUUAAUCGAUGGGGGGACGCAGUAGGAUAGGCGAAGCGUGCGAUUGGAUUGCACGUCUAAGCAGUAAGGCUGAGUAUUAGGCAAAUCCGGUACUCGUUAAGGCUGAGCUGUGAUGGGGAGAAGACAUUGUGUCUUCGAGUCGUUGAUUUCACACUGCCGAGAAAAGCCUCUAGAUAGAAAAUAGGUGCCCGUACCGCAAACCGACACAGGUAGUCAAGAUGAGAAUUCUAAGGUGAGCGAGCGAACUCUCGUUAAGGAACUCGGCAAAAUGACCCCGUAACUUCGGGAGAAGGGGUGCUCUUUAGGGUUAACGCCCAGAAGAGCCGCAGUGAAUAGGCCCAAGCGACUGUUUAUCAAAAACACAGGUCUCUGCUAA
rnacentral:rRNA from 1 species